GACGAACGCUGGCGGCGCGCCUAACACAUGCAAGUCGAACGGAGCUGAGAGGAGCUUGCUUUUCUCAGCUUAGUGGCGAACGGGUGAGUAACGCGUGAGUAACCUGCCCUGGAGUGGGGGACAACAGUUGGAAACGACUGCUAAUACCGCAUAAGCCCACGAUCCGGCAUCGGAUUGAGGGAAAAGGAUUUAUUCGCUUCAGGAUGGACUCGCGUCCAAUUAGCUAGUUGGUGAGGUAACGGCCCACCAAGGCGACGAUUGGUAGCCGGACUGAGAGGUUGAACGGCCACAUUGGGACUGAGACACGGCCCAGACUCCUACGGGAGGCAGCAGUGGGGGAUAUUGCACAAUGGGGGAAACCCUGAUGCAGCGACGCCGCGUGGAGGAAGAAGGUUUUCGGAUUGUAAACUCCUGUCGUUAGGGACGAUAAUGACGGUACCUAACAAGAA
rnacentral:rRNA from 1 species